AGUGAACGCUGGCGGUAGGCCUAACACAUGCAAGUCGAGCGGCAGCACAGUACUUGCUUGUGCUUACGGGUGGCGAGUGGUGGGUGGUGGCUAGGAACCUCCGAGGCUGCUGUUUCUUACGUGCUAACACAGGGGCUAAUACGCUAAACGCGCAUAGGAAGUACGGGUGAAAUCAUCGGACCUUACGCUAUCACGUGAUCCUAGGAGGGUAUGUCGGAUUAGCUAGUUGGCGGGGUAAAGGCCCACCAAGGCGACGAUCCGUAGCUGGUCUGAGAGGAUGAUCAGUCACACUGGAACUGAGACACGGUCCAGACUCCUACGGGAGGCAGCAGUGGGGAAUAUUGGACAAUGGGCGAAAGCCUGAUCCAGCCAUGCCGCGUGUGUGAAGAAGGCCUUCGGAUUGUAAAGCCCUUUUGUUGGGAAAGAAAAGCAGCAGGUUAAUACCUCGCUGUUUUGACGUUACCCAAAGAAUAAGCACCGGCUAACUUCGUG
rnacentral:rRNA from 1 species